AUUGUAAUAUAUAUAUAUAUAUAUAUAUAUAUAUAUAUAUCAACCAACUAAUGCAUUGAUCAAGAGAAAUUGACCUAUUAAGCAUUGUAACAAUAUAACUAAUGCAUUGAUAUGUCAAUUACUACGUACGUACGUACAUCUCUCAAAUACAUGCAUGUGCUCAUUACAUAUGAUUGAGAAAUUGAUCAAGAAUCCGUUCCAUCUCUCCAGCACAGGAGCAUCGCGAUACAGCGUCGCAAGAUGUAGAACUUGGCUCUCUUCUCCUUCACCACCCGCCGACACCGCCAGCGAAACGUGUUACGCGGAAAACUCUCUUCACUCUUCUCCAUUUCUCCCCUACCCUCUCUAUCUUUCUCUAUGUUCCUAUAUCUUGAACUAAAUAGGGGAGAGAGAGAGAGAGAGAGAGAGAGAGAGAGAGAGAGAGAGUGUGUGUGUGUGUGUGAGAGAGAGAGAGAGAGAGAGAGAGAGAGAGAGAGUGUGUGUGUGUGUGUGUGUGUGUGUGUGUGUGUGUGUGUGAAGGAAAAUAAUUAAUAGCUGGUGGUGCUUUAAAACUGUUGUUGGUGGUUG
rnacentral:lncRNA from 1 species